ensembl:lncRNA
CCCCCCCUUUAUUUGAUAUCUAAUCCAAAAGUAAAGAAAGAAGUUUCCCUCUAGUCUAGAGUCUUGCUCUUCUGUGUCGUGUGAUAGCAAUUCAGGGACCAGUCAGGUGAAGGUCAUUUUACAUUGGAUUUCAAUGGAACCCAUGAAUUUACAGAUGUCUUUGUUACAGGGGUUGAGUUACAGCGAUGGAAAACACUGAUCUCUUCAGCACGGACAUGGGAUUAACCUCCUCAAGUUAUGCAGUGUUGGACCUUCGAUUCAUCUCAAGUAGAAUUAGAACCGUAUAGAGAAAUGUGUUUUUUCCAAGCCUAUUUUCAGUUAAAUUGAAAAAUGUGAGUAUCAUUAACAUCUAAUGUAACAUUUCUGAAAAAACGGAAACACCAAGAGAGCCAAGCUCAUUUUUUACAUCUGAUAUGACUGUAUGUCCAAGGGUGGACCCAGUAACAGCAUGCAUCCAUGCUGUGCCUGGGUGAGCCCUAUGUACCCCCAUCCAGGGCUCUCCGAGAUCCUCAGAUCACCAGAGAUCCUUGCGGCCAGCCAAUCCACGCAGGGCUACCGGUACGACUGGAUUCCCCUCUUCCUCUGUGGACUGACUUCGCCUUUGCCUUCGCCUGGCUGUAAUUCAAUGAAGACCUUAACUUGAUUGAACUACAACAAGAUCCCUGGACUGGAGCUAACGUUUCCACUGAAUUAUGCAUGACCAGAGAGCGGACACGUAGAAAAGGACUCCUUGAUAUGUUUUCGCAGUCAAUUAACUGAGCUAAUGAUAAGGCUUCAGACUAUUUGACUAACUGUUUAUUAAAAGAUUACACAAUGCCCCUUCAGGUAAACCCAAAAUUGACAAACCUUAUCCAAAUGCAUGAUCUUAGUUGUGUGCUGUCUUUGCAAGCCCCUUAGUCAGGUACAUUAACCUCACAUUAGACUCAAUCUCCAAACAGCAACAUCCCGAGGUGCUGCUGUUCCAGAGCUGCAUGCUGCUACAUGUCUUGCCGCUGGUUCUCUCCCUAACUCAAGCCUGUGCCGAUGAAGGCUGAGCAGUCUUCUGGCAGCUACCGCUAUGCUCCAACCCUGUCACGAUAAGGCCCCUACUAAAUGAGCCUCAGUGUGUGUGUGUGUGUGUGUGUGUGUGUGUGUGUGUGUGUGUGUGUGUGUGUGUGUGUGUGUGUGUGUGUGUGUGUGUGUGUGUGUGUGUGUGUGUGUGUGUGUGUGCGUUUGAGGUGCGGAGCACUUUUGUCGAUAUGUUGUGUCCCAUUCGUAGAUUACCGGUCUGAGAUAAAUAAGGGUCAGAGGUAGUGAAUUGAGCGUAUGGUUUGUUGCUGUGCUUCCUGCAAUGCACCACACCAGAUCCAAGAAACCAUAUCUUAACUCACCAUACUAUCCUUUCAUACACCAAACAUUGGCUUAGCACACCACACCAUAUUAAGACUGCAAUCUCCCAAAGGCCUCUCUUUGGCAUUCCAUUGGUCACACAGUUGUAUGAUAGUUUCACGUUUCUAGAAGAGCAUUCAGCAAACAGCCUUUGACUGUUCUUCUCUUUUGCAUAAUGCUUGCUUUUGGUUGUAAUUUGCAUCUCCCCUGCUAUCUUUCACUGUUCUCUGUGUUAGCUGCUCAUGAGAGGGCAGCACACCACGGAGGGUCACCCUAAGCCUAUGGAUUCCCCUAAGGCCCAGGUCACAUGAUGAAUCAAGCUCAUAAUCGUCUGAGAAAUCUGGGACCACCAGCAUGCGAUCUUUCCACAUCCCUCUCUCUCGCUGGGAUCUUUUCAAUGCCACCAUAAUUUUGUUCAAUGGAUUAAUUAAACUGAGGGUAGGCAUUUUAUUAAGAAGCAAUUUUGUCUUAUUUGUUGAAAUUCUCUUAACAUCGUGACUACAAUAAAUAAAACAAAUAUUCAAACAAAGAAAAUAAACAUUUUGUUUGGCCAGAAUUUAAUAAUUGGCUGCGCACACUCUGCUAGUCCACUCAUCGUGCAUGACAGGGGUCUUCCAGAAGGCUAAGCAAUCCUAUUGCUAAAGCUAGCGAGCUAGUCAUGUGUUUUUGGGGAGUAGCUUUUGAAGGAUGCCUGAAGGGAGGGAAGGGGUGUUUUUGGUUUGAAACUUUCAAAACACAUUAGCCUAAGGUGCAGAACAUGAAUGCAAGUAUUUGAUCAGUGUGAAAGAUUAUCACAC